AGCAGCCGCGGUAAUUCCAGCUCCAAUAGCGUAUAUUAAAGUUGUUGCAGUUAAAAAGCUCGUAGUUGAACUUCGGGGUUUACCCAUUGGUCAGGCUUAAUUGUCUGUACUGGUGAGAUAAAUCUCUACCUUCUGAGGAACUUUCAUGCCAUUUAUUUGGUGUAAUUGGAAAUCAGGACUGUUACUUUGAAAAAAUUAGAGUGUUUAAAGCAGGCUAACGUCUGAAUACAUUAGCAUGGAAUAAUGAAAUAGGACGUUUGAUCCUAUUUUGUUGGUUUCUAGGAUCGACGUAAUGAUUAAUAGGGAUAGUUGGGGGCAUUAGUAUUCAAUUGUCAGAGGUGAAAUUCUUGGAUUUAUUGAAGACUAACUACUGCGAAAGCAUUUGCCAAGGAUGUUUUCAUUAAUCAAGAACGAAAGUUAGGGGAUCGAAGACGAUCAGAUACCGUCGUAGUCUUAACCAUAAACUACGCCGACUAGGGAUCGGAUGAUGUUAAUUUUUUAAUGACUCAUUCGGCGCCUU
rnacentral:rRNA from 1 species